GGAGAGCCCCACCGUGCCAGAUCCUCAUCGUCUUCAACCUCUGGCCGCCUCAAUGCCAUCGUGAUGCCGUCACCGCGAUUCCUCGCCAUCUGUGCUCCUAAGCUGUCAACGAGCCUCCGUGCGCUCCUCGGUGAGCCCCGUGCCUUUCACCUCCGCCUCCCCUUCGGUCUGCUAUCCCUAGCCGCCGCGCCACCCUUGCCAUAGUUCGUUGCCGCCGUCAUGCUUGCUGCCGUUGUUGUACUGCUUCCCCGGCUCAAGCGAGCACACCACGGUGCUUCUGGCAUCGCGUGGGAGCUGCCUAGCCCUUCGGUGCUUCGUGUGGAUACUCCUAGCACCGUCCCCCUCGAGUUUUUGCUCCGGCUGCCGCUCACCGUCGUUGUUGCCGUUGCCUUAAGUCGUUACCGCCUGAUCUAGUAGCACUAGUGGACGCGCGACGUCUUGCUCGCCCCCGACCGCACUCGUCGCUGCCCCAUGGCCUUCUGCGCGUGCGCCGCCACGCCCGGUGCUGGCUGCCGCUCGCCCUUGCUGCGUCCAGGGCAUGCCCCCGCAGCCGCCCACGGUCCCUGCUCCGCCUACUAUCGUUGCUGCUGCGCUGCUUCAGCUUGCCGCUGCAGCUCCUGCUGUUGGUGUUGUGGCGCUGCAGCUGCUCUGCUUACCGCUGCGGCUCUCUGCUCUGCUGCCUUAGCCGCCUGAGCUCUCCUGCUGCUGCUUCUUGCUAUUGCUGACGCUGCAUAGCUGCCGCCGCUGCCACUGUUCCUUAGCUGCUGCCGCUGCUGUUUGCUGGUCGCUCUCGCUCGUAGCUGCCAGGUUGACUACCAGAGAGCGCCCCGUCCAAGCUUGGUCUUGUGCGUUGUGUGCAUGAGUGUGUGUUCUGUGUGUGUGGCCGGCCAAAUGCUAGUUUAGGGACUAGUUUAGUUAGUUAGUCUAAUUAGUAAUACUCUAUCAAUUAAUUAGUCUAAUAGUAGAUGACAUGUGGACCCAUUUUUAGUUUAAAGAAAAAUGAAUUUUCAGAAAAGUAAGUCAAUGACGUGUGGCCCCCACACUGUUCAUAUGUUGACUAGUCAACUGCUGACUUUGACCCUGACCCCACCUGUCAUAUACUAUGGCUAGAGUAGCACUAGGUGACAAACCUGAUUCCUGUUUUAUUCUCGAAUUAAUAAUAAAUCCAGAAAAUGUUUAGAUCUUUUAAAUUUAUAGAAAGUAAACCGUAACUUGGAUGAAAAUGUUUUCUACAUGAAAGUUGCUCAGAACGACGAGGCGAAUUCGGAACCUUUCCCCUCCGGUCAUCUGUCUGACACAGGUCCGGAACCGGGAAAACAUUCUCGGUUGACUUCCCCCCUCGCCGGUAUCGUGUAACACCGCAUUAGAACACGUCUAGCUCUGCCUGUUGUCCUGUUAUGCUAUGUUUGCUUUAUAUUUACUAUUCCUUCCCCUUCUUCUCUCCGGUAGACCCCGACACCGAUGCCGCCCCUGUGAUCGACUACGUCGACGACGACCCCUCCUUGCCAGAAGAAUCAGGCAAGCCCCCCCUUUGAUCAUCCCGAUAUCGCCCAUUCCAUUCUCUUAUGCUUGCAUUAGAUUUUGCUACUGUUAUUGAUUGCUCCUAUUCUGAUGCAUAGCCUGCUUUUGUAUCUGCUGUUGUACCUUACCUGUUGUUCCUAAACUGCUUAGUAUAGGUUGGUUAGUGAUCCAUCAGUGACCCCUACCUUGUCCUUGUUGCCCCUGCUUCAUCAUUGAAGACCCGAUCAACGGGAUCGAAGACCAGGCCCCGGCACCGCACAUCACUUUCCCCUUAGUUGCUCGACACUGCUGGGUUACUAUCGAGUGCCGAGGGUGAGACCUCUAUAGCACUUCUGAUAUUAACCCUGUAGUGUAGCUAUUCGGUCGUGGUCAUCGAGGGUGAUUCCGCCUUAACCACUUCCGAUACGACUCUGUCGUGCAACCCCUCAAGUGUGAACAUCGGGGGUGAUUCCUCUUAUGUUCACCUUGAUGAUUACAUCAAGUGGAGUUCACCGAGGGUGAUUCCUCGGGGUUUCCCCUUAAUGAUUGGACACACGGGUACUUGGACUUUACAACUGUUACUUGGAAAGGCGGGUCGACCGUGAGGGGUACCCGCGAGUGAUGUGGAGAUGGGCUGACCUGGAGGGUGCCCGCGAGAUAAUUACGAGGCGUGGCCGGGCAUUCCUAGCCCUUGCCGCAAGUCCUCGAGACGGGGCAACGGGGUCACAUCUUUCGUGAGUCUCUGCUUGUUACCACGCGUUCCUAAUCCACUACGAUUUGGAUAUUUGAUCCGAGGGGCCUCUGGCCUGAUAGCACUAACCAUCACAUGGGCAUAGUAUGGGUGUUCUGCGUCGUAUACAUCAGCCGAAGCUUAAUAGACGUCAGCGACUGAGCGGUGCGCGCCGGGUUGGACUGCGUAAGCACCUGCCUUGUUGAAGGAGGUAGCUAGGUCUGCUCACCGGCCGCGUACGCAACGUGCAGGAGUUUCCGGGGAGAUGGCCCAUGACCCCUGGGGGCAUAGGUUUAGUCCGGCGUGCUGGCCUCUCUAUUAAGCCUAGGUCGGGUUGCGGCGUAUUGUUUGGCCGAGGCCGGGCAUGACCCAGGAAAGUGUGUCCGGCCGGAGUUAAGCGAGCGUGGUGGGUAAGUUGGUGCACCCUUGCAGGGAAGAACUAAUAUAUGCAUAGCCUGUCCUAUGGUAACGGACACUUGGAGUUGUAUCCAGAUUGAUACAACUAGAACUGGAUACUUGUGAUGAAAAUUGGAUGGUGAUGAGAAUUGGAUUGUGAUAACAAAUGGAUAGUAUGGCCCUGGGAUUGCUCUCUCGCAGGGAGUCAAGGAAGGAUCUCUGGCCGAGGUUGAUAACACUACUACUACUUUACUUUAUGCUACUCUACUCCCUCCUGUUGCUACAAGAUGGUGGUUUCCAGAAGUUGCUAGCCUUAGAUAGGACUAGGCCUUCUAUCUAUUCUGGCAUUUCUGCAGCCCAGUCCACAUAUACAGCCUUCCAUUGAUAAUGUUGCAUCUGUAGUGUAGAUCCUUGCUUGCGAGUACUUUGGAUGAGUACUCACGGUUGCUUUGCUCCCACUUUUUCCCCUUUUCCAUUCUUCUCGGGUGAUGCAACCAGAUGUCAGAGCCCAGGAGCCAGAUGCCACCGCCGAUGCCUACUACCACGUGACGGAGACCGCCGAUGACCAGGAGUAGUUAGGAGGCUCCCAGGCAGGAGGCCUUGCCUUUUCGAUCGAUGUUGCUUUUGUGCUAGCCUUCUUAAGGCAAACUUG
rnacentral:lncRNA from 1 species